UACGUAGGGCGCAAGCGUUAUCCGGAAUUAUUGGGCGUAAAGAGCUCGUAGGCGGUUUGUCGCGUCUGCCGUGAAAGUCCGGGGCUCAACUCCGGAUCUGCGGUGGGUACGGGCAGACUAGAGUGAUGUAGGGGAGACUGGAAUUCCUGGUGUAGCGGUGAAAUGCGCAGAUAUCAGGAGGAACACCGAUGGCGAAGGCAGCGCGCUGGGACGGUAC
rnacentral:rRNA from 1 species